rnacentral:rRNA from 1 species
GUCUAUGGCCAUAUUACCCUGAACACGCCUGAUCUCAUCUGAUCUUGGAAGCUAAGCAGGCUCGGGCCUGGUUAGAACUUGGAUGGGAGAAACA